rnacentral:rRNA from 3 species
GCAUAUCAAUAAGCGGAGGAAAAGAAACCAACAGGGAUUACCUCAGUAACGGCGAGUGAAGCGGUAACAGCUCAAAUUUGAAAGCUAGCUCUUUUAGGGUUCGCAUUGUAAUUUGUAGAAGAUGCUUCGGGUGUGGCCCCGGUCUAAGUUCCUUGGAACAGGACGUCAUAGAGGGUGAGAAUCCCGUAUGUGACUGGGUGCUUUCGCUCAUGUGAAGCUCUUUCGACGAGUCGAGUUGUUUGGGAAUGCAGCUCAAAAUGGGUGGUAAAUUUCAUCUAAAGCUAAAUAUUGGCCAGAGACCGAUAGCGCACAAGUAGAGUGAUCGAAAGAUGAAAAGCACUUUGGAAAGAGAGUUAAACAGUACGUGAAAUUGUUGAAAGGGAAGCGCUUGCAACCAGACUUGCGCGCUGAUGAUCAUCCGGGCUUCUGCCCGGUGCACUCGUCUGCGCUCAGGCCAGCAUCGGUUUCGGUGGUGGGAUAAAGGCCUUGGGAAUGUAGCUCCUCUCGGGGAGUGUUAUAGCCCUCGGUGCAAUGCCGCCUACCGGGACCGAGGACCGCGCUUCGGCUAGGAUGCUGGCGUAAUGGUUGUAAGCGACCCGUCUUGAAACACGGACCAAGGAGUCUAACAUCUAUGCGAGUGUUUGGGUGUCAAACCCAUACGCGUAAUGAAAGUGAACGGAGGUGAGAACCCUUAAGGGUGCAUCAUCGACCGAUCCUGAUGUCUUCGGAUGGAUUUGAGUAAGAGCAUAGCUGUUGGGACCCGAAAGAUGGUGAACUAUGCGUGAAUAGGGUGAAGCCAGAGGAAACUCUGGUGGAGGCUCGCAGCGGUUCUGACGUGCAAAUCGAUCGUCAAAUUUGCGUAUAGGGGCGAAAGACUAAUCGAACCAUCUAGUAGCUGGUUCCUGCCGA